GUCGGCCUGCGCGGAAGAUGUAACGGGGCUAAACCAUGCACCGAAGCUGCGGCAGCGACACUUAGGUGUUGUUGGGUAGGGGAGCGUUCUGUAAGCCGUUGAAGGUGACCUGUG
rnacentral:rRNA from 1 species